AUGUCUGACAGUCCCAGAGAUAAGACACAAUGAAUUCAAUAGGACAGUAUGGUCAUUUUAAGUCAUCAGAAUGUCUGCAAAAGGAGUGAAGAGAAACAGAAUCAGACAGAGGCGGAAAGAGUGGGGGAGGGCUUGUUUAGGGAGACUGAAAAGGACGGGCGUUAAGCCUGUAAAGCAGAAAAAGGCUACCAAGAAGCCUAACUGGUACAGGAGAAAAAGAAGUUCGGGGAUGAUAUUGACCAAAUCCUCGACGCUGGCACAGGAGUUGGGGAGUCCGGCAAGACCAGCCUUUGUUGACUUCCCACUUUCCCCGAUUUUUAAGCACAGGUCUGCUUUAAAACUCUCCCGCUGCCCCUAACCAAUUUUAAGAGCACCUUGCCAAGCAGAUAGUAAUGGAUCAAUAAAAUGUCGAAUCAGUGAAUAAAUAGCAGAUGAAAUCAGCAAAGUGCCCAGAGAAGUGACUCUUACAUAUUUCAAGUGUUUCAUGUGCUACAGAAUCUGUUGAACAAGAUAAAGGUUAAGUGCAUUGUGUGGACUUUAACAACUUACAACAGCGGAACCCUUCAAAUGGCACACCAACUGAAUUUACAUAUAUAAGACUAAGAAAAAGCAGGACCCAGAUGCCGCCAGAGGACCACCGUCAAGUACACCUGAAAACUACAGCUUUCAACACUUCACACCACCUUUGUUUUAUGAUACACCUAUCAUGCUGUAGCUAUGAUGAGAGCAUACAAAUAAAUAAAAGACUCAGUCAUUUCCCUCA